rnacentral:rRNA from 1 species
CCUACGGGAGGCAGCAGUGAGGAAUAUUGGUCAAUGGGCGCGAGCCUGAACCAGCCAAGUAGCGUGAAGGAUGACUGCCCUACGGGUUGUAAACUUCUUUUAUAAAGGAAUAAAGUGAGGCACGUGUGCCUUUUUGUAUGUACUUUAUGAAUAAGGAUCGGCUAACUCCGUGCCAGCAGCCGCGGUACUACGGAGGAUCCGAGCGUUAUCCGGAUUGAUUGGGUUUAAAGGGAGCGUAGAUGGGUUGUUAAGUCAGUUGUGAAAGUUUGCGGCUCAACCGGAAAAUUGCAGUUGAAACUGGCAGUCUUGAGUACAGUAGAGGUGGGCGGAAGUCGUGGUGUAGCGGUGAAAUGCGUAGAUAUCACGAAGAACUCCGAUUGCGAAGGCAGAUCACUGGACUGCAACUGACACUGAUGCUCGAAAGUGUGGGUAUCAAACAGGAUUAGAUACCCCAGUAGUC